rnacentral:rRNA from 2 species
CUACGGGAGGCAGCAGUGAGGAAUAUUGGUCAAUGGGCGCAAGCCUGAACCAGCCAUCCCGCGUGAAGGAAGACGGCCCUACGGGUUGUAAACUUCUUUUCUGCACCAAGAAUGGGCGCUACGAGUAGCGUUUUGACGGUAGUGCAGGAAUAAGCAUCGGCUAACUCCGUGCCAGCAGCCGCGGUAAUACGGAGGAUGCAAGCGUUAUCCGGAUUCAUUGGGUUUAAAGGGUACGUAGGUGGCCCGGUAAGUCAGUGGUGAAAUCCUGCCGCUUAACGGUAGAACUGCCAUUGAUACUGCUGGGCUUGAGUACAGAUGAGGUAGGCGGAAUGUGUAGUGUAGCGGUGAAAUGCUUAGAUAUUACACAGAACCCCGAUUGCGAAGGCAGCUUACUAAACUGUAACUGACACUGAGGUACGAAAGCGUGGGGAGCGAACAGGAUUAGAUACCCUGGUAGUCCACGCCGUAAACGAUGCUCACUCGCUGUAUGCAAUACACAGUAUGCGGCCAAGCGAAAGUAUUAAGUAGCCACCUGGGGAGUACGUUGGCAACAGUGAAACUCAAG